rnacentral:misc_RNA from 1 species
UUGAAAUAUCAGAGACGGGUUGUCGCUGGCCUCGACAGAGGCAUGUGCACGCCUGGAUCGAUCUUCAUACACCUGUGCACCUCCUGUAGGGCGCGGAGGGGACUCGUCCUCUCUCGAGCUCUACGCCUUUUACACACCCCGAAUGUAUCAGAAUGUCUUAUGACUCUGCCGUCACACGCAGAAGAAUUAAAUA